CUUGUACUCCCUCCGUCCGAAAAUACUUGUCAUUGAAACGGAUGUAUCUAGAUGUAUUUUAGUUCUAGACACAUCCAUUUUGAUGACAAGUAAUUCCGGACGGAGGGAGUACUUG
rnacentral:pre_miRNA from 1 species